CGUCAGGAAUUGUUACAAAGAGAGUGUUGAGGUGUUAUGAAGAGCGAUUAAAAUCGAUACCAUUGCUGAAGGCAUAUAUCGAUAAAGCUAUACAGAAUCUAAAACAGACGAUCAUUGAGAACGAAAAAAAAAGAAAGACGAAUAUGACGUCACUGUAAAGAAAAUGCAACUAAAAAUUGAGACAUUAAAGGCAAAGAUUACAGACAAUAAAGCAGAACUGUCACAGAAGAAAUUUAUUAUCAGGUAACAGGAAGAAGAUUUAAGAUCCAUACCAGUACUGAAGGCAGACCUUCAAAGAGUCGAACAGAAAAUCAAACUCAUGGCCGCUGAGCGUGAAGAUAUUGUAGAGGAAGUCGAAGCAAUGGGAUUACAGAUUGAGUCCUUAAAGGUAAAGGUUACACAUAAUAAGGAAGAUUUAAGAACCAUACCAGUAUCGAAGGCGGACCUCUACGAAGGCACACAGGAGCUGGAACUCAUGGUCAUUAAGAGUGAAAGAAGUAAAACUGAAUAUGAAAUGAAGGACGAGAUAGAGUUAAAAAUUAAAUUAGUAACUUGUCUACAAAGAGAUAACUGUUCACAACAUCUUGCCGGUAGGUAGGAAACUACAGAACACUGCGCUGCGUGACCUUAAUGAGAACCAAGAAAAUGAACCUAAAGGCGUCAACCGGCAGAUGUGUAGUACAACACAAAAUUGCGAAACAGAUUCUAGAGAUGACAGCACCAGACAUAAAGACAGGAUUAUUGAAUCCAAAAGGGGAAGGUCUCCACCAGCCGUCCCGUUACACACAAAAAACAUGAGGUAAUUACUCUAUCUGCAUAUUGUCCUACAGUCUCCAUAAUCUAUCCAUCUUUGAUUUGUGUUUAUUUAAUAAAUUAAAACAAAAUUCUGGUGCGACCAUUUUUUUGUUUUUGCUGAAACGUGUUUAAAGAAGCGUUAUAUAAGGUUUUACAUGCACAUAAAGAGCACGGCAGUGCUGGGCAUAUUUUUGUUCUUGGUGCAACUCUUUUAAGAACUGAGCAGCUUAUUUUGAAACGUUCAACUUUCAUUUAAAAAUAUUAAAGCUGUGAAAUAUCUGUAAUAUUUGGGUAAAAUUCCUUUUUUUUUACAGUUGUCUACUGUUUGUUCUGAUUCCAUAGCUUGCAUAAUGAAAGAAAUUAUGGUUUAGUGAGAAAUUUGAUAUUUGGCUGAUCAAUUUAAAUUUAGCUUCACAGCCCUGCGCAUGUAUUUAUUGGUCUGAAAAUGUUAAUGCAAAAUGAUUUUGUGUUCACAAUUUGCAAAAUUGCAAUGUAUGUACUCAUUCAAUGAAGCAGAGUAUUAUUUAUAUUAAUUUGCUACCAUCAUUUGAACUCUGUAUGCUUAAUCCAUUUUCUUAUGUUCACAGCUUGUGACCUCUCAAGAAAUUUUCAAAAUAUGUGUCAUGGUUUACUUUGUUUCGCUUUUUGCAUUUUUGUAACUGAUUAUUUGGCACUUAGGCGCGGUUCGCAACAUCUUCUCCAUUCAUCUCUGUCUUGUGCUUUGGUGGGACCUCGUGCGUCCUUUAUGCUGUAUAAUGAGAGAGCGAAUUGGCCCAGCGAGUGAACGGUCGACCAAGCGGUUUCUUCUUGCCACGCGUCGUACUCCAUCUGUUGUGUUUCCGCCUGACUACGUGUCCAGCCCAACGGUGUUUCGCCUUCGAGAUGUGCUCUCCGACUCCACACUAUCGAACGCCUUCUCGUAGUCUAUGAAGGUGAGGAUGAGUGGCUAUGAAGGUGAGGAUGAGUGGCUGAUGGUACUCCCGACUGACUUCUAAUAUGUGGUGCAGCGUCGUAACGUGAUCCAUCGUGGAGAAGGACGGACGAAAUCCGGCUUGUUCAAGGUUUCAGCGCAUGCGUGCGAGUACGCAUCUAGUGAACACUUGUAGAUGACGGGAAGAAGCGUGAUCGGCGUGGUCCUCUCGGUCUCCUUUCUUCAAGAGCAGGAUUGUGAGCGAUGUUUGCCAAGCCUGUGGGGCUUCUCCUGCCUCCACGUAUCGGGUAAAUCUCUUCGCGAGCGUGGCGUGGCGUACAGAGGGUGACCGCAAGCUCUCAGAAGUUCCGCCGUGAUAUCGUCCGCGCCUGGUGCCUUCCGAGGUGGAAUUCCUUCCACUACGGCCAGAACCUCCGAGGUGAUGAAGGGUGGGACAGUGCAAUGGGGUGAGGGAGGGCGAGCACGAAGAACGAAAAAGGGUCGAGAUGAAGACCAAAAUCGUCAUCCCAGACCUGGAAGAUGUUGGGACACCAGAGUAGAAACAAGUAACCUGUCAAUGUUCAACAUACUGACAGGAAACGUGAUUGACAGUCGAAUAAGAAUUAUUUUAAAAUUGUAUAACAGAAGCUUUUAAGUUAUUAAAGUAUGUUGCAUAAGCAGA